GACGAACGCUGGCGGCGUGCCUAAUACAUGCAAGUAGAACGCUGAAGGAGGAGCUUGCUUCUCUGGAUGAGCUGCGAACGGGUGAGUAACGCGUAGGUAACCUGCCUGGUAGCGGGGGAUAACUAUUGGAAACGAUAGCUAAUACCGCAUAAGAGUAGAUGUUGCAUGACAUUUGCUUAAAAGGUGCAAUUGCAUCACUACCAGAUGGACCUGCGUUGUAUUAGCUAGUUGGUGAGGUAACGGCUCACCAAGGCGACGAUACAUAGCCGACCUGAGAGGGUGAUCGGCCACACUGGGACUGAGACACGGCCCAGACUCCUACGGGAGGCAGCAGUAGGGAAUCUUCGGCAAUGGACGGAAGUCUGACCGAGCAACGCCGCGUGAGUGAAGAAGGUUUUCGGAUCGUAAAGCUCUGUUGUAAGAGAAGAACGAGUGUGAGAGUGGAAAGUUCACACUGUGACGGUAUCUUACCAGAAAGGGACGGCUAACUACGUG
rnacentral:rRNA from 1 species